rnacentral:rRNA from 1 species
UACGGGGGGGGCAAGCGUUGUUCGGAAUUACUGGGCGUAAAGGGCUCGUAGGUGGCCAACUAAGUCAGACGUGAAAUCCCCAAGCUUAACUUGGGAACUGCGUCGGAUACUGGAUGGCUUGAAUUCGGCAGAGGGAUGCAGAAUUCCAGGUGUAGCGGUGAAAUGCGUAGAUAUCUGGAGGAAUACCGGUGGCGAAGGCGGCAUCCUGGACCGACAUUGACGCUGAGGAGCGAAAGCUAGGGGAGCAAACGGG